CCAAUAUAUUUUUUACUUGCAUUACAAAAUAACGGCCUCUCACUUCUGUCGGCGCGGGUUCGAAACCCGCUCGCGCCGGUUGGUGAGAAAGUUUCCCAGUUUACUUUCGGAAGGUCGGUGGUCUCUUCCCAGGUACAUUGUAUCUGGUUUCUCUCUUCCACCAACAAAAACUGGGUGCCACCAGAUAACUGAAAAAUUGUUGAGUGUGGCGGAAAACAUUAGGAAAAAAAAUGGAUAUUGUUAUCAAAAGUGGGGGACAGACACUCUUGUCCCCUCCCCUUGAUUCUAAGUACUUUGUACUUGACCUUUGUAUUUGGGAGAGGGCCUACAUAGGCUAUGCCUGUUGCCCAAUCCUGUUGAGCUUCUCAAUAAAAUAUGUUUAAAUAAGAAAAACAAUUCUAUGUGCUUGAUAACUACGCAUAUAAUAAACUCUCAAUUAUUACAUUUUGCAUUACUACAAUUUGCGUCGAGUUCAACGCAGAAUGUAAUAAAGCAAAAUGGCAUAGAUAUAUAAGAUCUAUUGAGCGCCGAAUAAGCAUAAAAUGAAGUAAUUGAAAAUAACAUUAUUUAAAGAUAUGUUUAAUUUUUAAUUAUUGCGUGCUUUAAAUGAAUCAAAUAAAUCUGUAUUAUCAAUUAAUGAGAGCAAUAUUGAGUUACUGUUCUCUUAUAUUGAAUUAACGAUAUCAUUUGUCUUAAUAAGAGCGCGAUUAUUACAAGAUCAUCGUUUGAAUCUCUCUCUCUCUCUCUCUCUCUCUCUCUCUCUCUCUCUCUCUCUCUCUCUCUCCAUACACUCAUGCAGUGUUGUAUAUGCAAAUUAUCUUUGCACAAAGGAUUUAUGUGCCUAAAUGAUAUCCUGAUUUAUAAAUCUGCAAUACUCUGACAAGUAAAUCAUACAGUAUAAGGAUUCAUGCACAAUACAGGGUAACUAUUCUACUCUGAUACUUCCCCUGAUUGAAGAUAGCUGAUCGGCACGGGCUAAGUGUGUCGCAGUCUGUACAAUGGACAAUGUUGUUUACUGUUGGAAUACAAAUGGAGUGUAUCGUUUUGUUUCAUGGAUUAUGCUAAUAAAGGGAGUUUUACUACUACUUUUGAGUAUUUUCGACAAGUGUACACGUACAUUUGUACAUCCUCGGUCCUUUACAGAUAUUACGAGUAGACCCAGAAUGCAUUCUAUGCAGUCUUCCCCUUUAGAUGGCACAGCAAAGACACGUCGCAUUUCUACCUCAGAAAAUGGAGUUCAAACGGAAUUAUUGAUGGCGGAUCCUCGUUCGUGGCGUUUCGUUUUAUUUCCACUUGAAGUACAAAACAUUAUUCGCAACUGGGAAUUGAAGAGACGAGAAUUGUGACAUGUAGGAGAACGCCAUAUCCAAAAUAUAAGUAUGAUGAACUUUUCAUAAUGAAAUUUUUGAAAAUUCAACUUUUGAUGAGGUUUUUUUUUUUUGUUUGUUAACAAAUAACGACGAGAAUCAAAUUUUGUGAAGUGUCCAGUGCAUGCUACGCAGAUUAAGUAUAAACUCAGAUUAUUAAACAUGCUUUUGUCGUUAUUAUAUGUGAUGUUUUGUUUUGUAGCAUUCGAAAAGACAAAGCUUUAUCUACAUCCAGAAACUCUAAUCAUAUGAAUGAUAAUCUUAUAUUCACAUUUUAACUAUAUUCCCUUAUGUAAAGUUAUCACAAUAAUGAUGUCGUAAUCCUCAAUGUAUAGCAUCUCCUGUUACUAUAAUAUAGAACUAUCUUUAGUAUCUAUCGUGACACCUAGAGAGGAUAUGUAUUAAUAGAAUAUUUCUCUUGAAAAGAAAUGCCCUUCUAAUAACAUUGUGAAGAGAUGCAUUAGCAUUGUUAAAAGAGAUGCAUGCAUAGUCUUUCAAUGUUAUUAUAGGAUUAAACAUAUUAAUCACAAACUGAAUAAAAGUGCGAAGCACUUUUAUGUGAAGUUUGUGAGUAAAAUGUCCGGAGUUUACACAUCGAUAAAUUCUUCAAAAAGAAUGUUUGAUUCUUAUAAUUUCAAUUCACUCACAGUAUUAGCAAAUUCAAAAAAAAAAAAAAAAAGAAGAUUAAUUUCCCCGUACUACGUUAUUUGUUUUCAGGCGCAUAUGGAUACAUCGCGUUUUCGGAUUUAUUGAUGUGUAAACUCUCGUUCAGUUUUAUUUUUGUCCAAUCAAAACAACUGUAAUAAAUAACUGCAGUAUAGUUUUCAAAGUUAUAUAUAUAUAUAUAUAUAUAUAUAUAUAUAUAUAUAUACUGUAUAUAUUUCUUGAGAGAGAGAGUUUACGUGAGCUUAAUUUCUCAUUUUUUCUUGUGAUUUCUAUACGUUUAUUUACUAAUUUGGUGACAGUUUAUGUAUUUGAGUUUGAUUGUUGAUAUUUUCACCCAAAAGGUGUAUUGAUAUUUUUAUCGGGGUUAGGCAAUGUACCGCAAUGAAGUGCACUAAAAAUGAUUUCUUAUUGCAUCUAUAUUUAGCUGCAAAAUGUAUUUUGCUUGACAGAUGUUGGGUUAAAUGUGUUUAAGAGGCCUUUGUUUGGUCAGUGUAAUUGAAAUUGUGCAUGUAUGUUAAAUCUACUCAUGUACAUACUGUAGGUAUAACGAGUAAGCGGGCGGAUCUAGCAUUAGUAUAUAUAUUAGCCUAUCGUUUGGUAUCCCUUUAAAAAGAUAAAACAAAAGUUGUCGAUGUAGACUUUCAAAAUCGAAAAAAAAUAAUCAAUAUAUCAAAAAGUAAGACAUUGAAAUGAUCUUUACUCGCCCUGCGAAUCUGUGUUAGGCUAUCUAAGAUUUAUGGAAGUAGUUUACAUGUAUUUUAUUUGAUGAACGGGCAUACGGCGUUUAUGAAACGAAAAUGGAUACGUUUACCAGUAACAUCGAGUAUAGAAACAUAGGGUGAUAUUCUUCGGGUUAAUGUAGUAACUUACCCUGGAUUAGGAUAGUUGUUAAUCCAUUCUACAAGGAUAUAAUCCACAACCUCGCUUUCCCUUACUGGUUUUAAGUUGUUUUAAAACUACACCUCCUUAGCAAAAUCUGUAAUGGUAUAUAUUCCAUUAUUUUUUGUGAAUAAUUAGGAACAUGCUGCAUUAUGCUAAUUUAGAACUCGUAGAACUACCAAAAGAGGUUAAGAUAACGUUUCUCUAGAAACUACACGUGGGAUUUUCGUAAUGUCAGCCGCCAGUGAUUUAAUUAUACUUUAAACAACAUCAGUAUGUCAUGUUAGAAUUUUCUAUAUUACUUGCUUGUGUUUCAAGAACCUUUAGAAUGUGAAAUAAUUGAAAGUACAUUUGUGAUUUUAGAUUUCUUAUCUGAAAACUCUUUUACGUUAAGUUUUUCAGAGUAGAAUAUAGGUUUGAUUUGCUUUGUGUGCAGGUGCACCAAAGUCUUUUCUAGAAGAUUUGGUGAUAUAUUCGUCUAUUUGAUUAUAUAUGAGUGUUUUUAGGUCUAGGGUAGACCAUGAUAUGACUGUGAAAUUGAUUUUAAAGCCGGAAACUGGAGAACGCUCACUCGAGGAAUUGUUGAGUACCACACGGAAAAGGUCGAACUACAUAUAAAUCCACCACGAAGACAAGUGUAAAUCCAGGACGAAGCCACGUGUAAACCGAGGACGAAAACACGUGUACAUACAUGAUGACACAAUGCGUAUAUAAAAAGACAAAUUGGUAUAAAACUGUCUGGUGUAUAUUUAUAAUUGUUGUUUAAUACAUGUAUUGUGAUUGAAUACUUCGUCACUCUGUAAUUAUUGUCAUGUGAUUGUAUAUUUAUGGAGUUUACAUUACGAUGCCGUGGUUUUAACAUUUUUCGUUGGAUACGUUGUAAUAUCGAGUUUAGAAUAAACUAGAAAAUGAAUUGAUCAAUUUUCCACCAGAAUUAUUUGGUUUUAAAUCGGUCUUUACAAACAACAGUCACUCGGUCAUUUUUAUCACGUAUUCAAAAGAGAAAUCAAGUGACAGUCACGUGUCCAAUUCAGACUGAUACUAUCUGUGUAAAGCUGUAUGUUGUUACUGUAGUACCAUACUAUAAAUGUUUCACGUUUUUUGUUUAAGUUUUAUUUUGUUUAAGAGAAAUAAAGAUAUGAAAUACA